UGAGAAUUCACCCCGUUCCCCCUAACAGCUGGGCCACUGUGGGCGCCACAAUGGGGUGGGUUCCCCGCCACAAUUCCUGGCCUUUCUUUCUGGCAUCCAAGGACUAGCGUCCCUCAGAGCUGAGAGGCUGAGUGAGGAACGUGGUAAGGACUUUUGAGCUCUCUCCGUGAGAUCUGGGACUUAGCACACCUAUGUGGUCCUGGCAAAAGGACACACACACACACACACACACACACACACACACGUGCGCUGUGGUUGCAGUUAUCGCAAAGCAUCCUGGGAAGAACAUCUGGCUGACCGGGAAUGAAGCCCACUCGGGGCUGAGCGGGCCCUGUGCAGUGUACUUGACUUCAUUUCUUAGAUUCAGCAAGGUCACCGUGAGGCAGGAGAGCAUGUGGAGCAGAGUAGAGGAAGAAUCCCAUGGCUCUGAGUUGGCCUUCAUCUGGAAGCCACCGAGUCUCCAGUUCUUACUUGAUCUCUCAAAAGAAAUAACAAGUGUGCUCCAGGCAGGUCCAGCCUGCCAAACAGAAGCUGAGGACAGCAGUGAGUGUAGCCCGACACAAAAUGGCUCCAGCUUUCCACAGCCAGGCUGUCCUUAGGAGCCACCACGUCCCCGGAGGCACGAAGGCCCACGACCGUCACUUCCUCCCCAAGGCCUGGUCUCUUGUGCCUGGUGAGUGACAGCAAGACAUUUAGUCAUCCGGGGUCUCCGUUUUCCUUUUUCUGUAAAAGGGGCUGAGCGUCCCUCAGGUUUAUGGAGAGUUUUGAAGGAACAAGGCAGAUACGUUGCUCAGCGAUGUCUGACCUGGAGCACACACUCCAGCCAAGUCACCCAUGAUGGUCUUCGUAAUCGCCAUGACCGGGCGCUCUGUCAGAGGCCACUCUCCGAAUGGUGCAUCCUCUGCAACUUUCCCCUCUCUGGCUCUGCUGCGUCUCCCCAGGGCUCCAACAACCCUGUCACUGAAAUCAGGUGGAGACCGAGUCCCAUUUUACUAAAACCAUGAGAAUAUGGUGAACAACAUGCUGAUGGUUUUAACUGCCUUAAAGGAUACAGCUCAGGGGCACUGAGAGCAGCCCUUAUGGUCGUCAUUGUCACCAAGACUUCCUUGUCUUCCCAGACCCCAACUUUGUCCCUUUUACACCAAGCACUGUCUCACCAGCCACCAGAUGCUGGCAACCUCUGUUGUCUGUCUCUACCUGUCUGACCCACCUUGGCACCUCAUGUCAGUGGAUCAUACAUCCAUUGAUCUUUCUGUGAUUGGUUUGUUUUCUGGAACAUGGUGUGCACAAGUGUUAAUGAAAUGGCACACAUCAGCAUGUACUCCAUUUUUGAGACUAUAUAAUAUUUCUUUUGUGGGUUUCAGUUAUUCAUAGAGAAACACUAGCCAUCUCCAUCCUUUUGAUAUAGUGAAAAUGAAUGCUAUGUAUUGACAUGAAUGUACAUGUGCUGUAUCUGUUGGAUUCUUUUGAUUCAUACAUAUAUAGCCACGAUGUACCACAAUGCCCAAACUGUGUAAUUGCUGGAUAAAAUGGCAAUUCUGUUUAAAUAGAGCAAGACCUUUCAUGGACCACAUAAGAACCAUGGACACGAGUUGUGCUUGUUCUGCUUAGCCAAGGGCCAGGAGGAAAGCCCAGCAUCCUAUCAGUAUUUUGGGCAAACAGGUAUGAGCCCAACACAGAAAGAACUCAAAGCAGCCAACAAGUCAAAGAUGGAAGUGAGACACCCAUUAGCAGACACAUUCAGGAGGGGACAGGUA
rnacentral:lncRNA from 1 species